rnacentral:rRNA from 1 species
GAGACAGUGUCAGGCGGGCAGUUUGACUGGGGCGGUCGCCUCCUAAAAGGUAACGGAGGCGCUCAAAGGUUCCCUCAGAAUGGUUGGAAAUCAUUCAUAGAGUGUAAAGGCAUAAGGGAGCUUGACUGCGAGACCUACAAGUCGAGCAGGGUGGAAAGACGGACUUAGUGAUCCGGUGGUUCCGCAUGGAAGGGCCAUCGCUCAACGGAUAAAAGCUACCCCGGGGAUAACAGGCUUAUCUCCCCCAAGAGUUCACAUCGACGGGGAGGUUUGGCACCUCGAUGUCG